rnacentral:rRNA from 1 species
ACGGGAGGCAGCAGUAGGGAAUAUUGCACAAUGGGGGAAACCCUGAUGCAGCAACGCCACGUGUGGGAAGACGCAUUUCGGUGUGUAAACCACUGUCGUGAGGGAAUAAGGCAUCGUCUCGGCGAUGUUGAAUGUACCUCGAAAGGAAGCACCGGCAAACUUCGUGCCAGCAGCCGCGGUAAUACGAGGGGUGCAAGCGUUGUUCGGAAUCACUGGGCGUAAAGGGAGCGCAGGCGGAGAUGCAAGCGGUCUGUACAAUCCCGGGGCCUAACCCCGGACCUGCAGACCGGACUGUUUCUCUUGGAUAGUUCAGGGGCAAGCGGAAUUCCUGGUGUAGCGGUGGAAUGCGUAGAGAUCAGGAAGAACACCGAUGGCGAAGGCAGCCAGCUGGGGGCUUAUCGACGCUCAUGCUCGAAAGUGCGGGUAGCAAACAGGAUUAGAUACCCUGGUA